rnacentral:rRNA from 1 species
GACGAACGCUGGCGGCGUGCUUAACACAUGCAAGUCGAACGGAAAGGCCCUGCUUUUGUGGGGUGCUCGAGUGGCGAACGGGUGAGUAACCCGUGAGUCACCUGCCCUUGACUUUGGGAUAACUUCAGGAAACUGGGGCUAAUACCGGCUAGGAGCUCCUGCUGCAUGGUGGGGGUUGGACAGUUUCGGCGGUUGGGGAUGGACUCGCGGCUUAUCAGCUUGUUGGUGGGGUAGUGGCUUACCAAGGCUUUGACGGGUAGCCGGCCUGAGAGGGUGACCAGCCACAUUGGGACUGAGAUACGGCGCAGAGUCCUACGGGAGGCAGCAGUGGGGAAUAUUGCACAAUGGGCGGAAGCCUGAUGCAGCAACGCCGCGUGCGGGAUGACGGCCUUCGGGUGGUAAACCGCUUUCGCCUGUGACGAAGCGUGAGUGACGGUAAUGGGUAAAGAAGCACCGGCUAACUACGUG